AUUGAACGCUAGCGGGAUGCUUUACACAUGCAAGUCGAACGGCAGCGCGGACUUCGGUCUGGCGGCGAGUGGCGAACGGGUGAGUAAUGUAUCGGAACGUGCCCAGUAGCGGGGGAUAACUACGCGAAAGCGUAGCUAAUACCGCAUACGCCCUACGGGGGAAAGCAGUGGAUCGUAAGACCUUGCACUAUUGGAGCGGCCGAUAUCGGAUUAGCUAGUUGGUGAGGUAACGGCUCACCAAGGCGACGAUCCGUAGCUGGUUUGAGAGGACGACCAGCCACACUAGGACUGAGACACGGCCCAGACUCCUUCGGGAGGCAGCAGUGGGGAAUUUUGGACAAUGGGGGCAACCCUGAUCCAGCCAUCCCGCGUGUGCGAUGAAGGCCUUCGGGUUGUAAAGCACUUUUGGCAGGAAAGAAACGUCGCGGGCUAAUACCCCGUGGAACUGACGGUACCUGCAGAAUAAGCACCGGCUAACUACGUG
rnacentral:rRNA from 1 species